GUCAUAGAAAAAGCAGGUGUUCAGAUUGGCUACCGAAGUACAUUAUUUCUAGCAAAUCAUAUUCAUAUAUUUUCCCUCCUGCAGUGGAUCCUUCUGGUCUGGAGCCUCAACUGUCUAUGGACAGACCCCAGCCAAUCUAAGUAGUAUUUCGUAUCAUUUAGCUAGAUAGUUCCCAAUGAAAUUAAAAUGUGUUCAUGAACAUUAACCCCUUAAUUAUUCUUCAUCUUGUGUGGAAUUGUUUCACUGACUCUCUGUCUCUGCAUUACCCACAGGGUAACUGUCAACUUGUGAGUCUGCAAUGGGCACUGGAGGGUAACUGUCAACUUGUGAAAAAGGACACUGGAGAUGAAGGAAUCUGCAUUAUGCGACCUUCCAGUGACUCCCAUGCGACAACUAAAUAAUGGACCAAGUUAUUUGAGCAAAAAAUAAAGAUUGAAAG